ensembl:lncRNA
GCCAGAGUGAGGCAGGCUUUGAGGAGCUUGCCAAGGAGGGCGAAGGCCUUGCUUUGAAAACACUUCUCCAGUUUGCUGACUCGUGGGACUUGGCAAGCCCAGGGAAUAGUGCUGAAGGGAAGAAAGCCCCUGGAGGGGCCUCCCGGGCGGCUGCAGGCAACCCUGCUCUUUUCAUUGGCCCCAUGUGACGCCCACAAGGGAGCAGGCCUCGAAGGCCUUGUAAAUGAGUGUUUGCAGGGCCCCUCCCUGACUACAGCCCAUAUGUCAGGACACACACCUCCGGACUGCUAAAUGGCUGAGAAAAGGACAACCGUUUUCCGUGUUGGUACGACAUGCAGCAUUGGCCAGUCAAGGAUUGAGAUCAGUCAGAGUGACAGUUUCUGGGGAAACCCUCAAUACCUUUAAGGGGAGAUCAAGGACUCUAUUGAGUUGCAGAGAAGUUACUGAAGCCAUUCAUCCAUUUGGCCAACAGCCAUCAACGCAGGCCAAGGGUGUACAUGCCUCAUAAACAGAGAACUGGUUCCCGGAUAGCCAUGAUGGCAAAAGCAAGCCAGGCAGCUGGCUUUCCUGAGGAGGCACAUGGUGGCUCUGUCGGGGCCAUCAAAGUUGUCUCAGGGCUUCCGUCCACUGGAGACUGCUGCAAGCUGACAAUUUCAAAUCCAUUUGCAUCCACUUAGCUUUCCAGAGACCAAGGCAUUUUUCAGCUACAGCAAACAACACAUGAAUGUGAAGCUCGGAGCAGGCAGCACAGGGCAAAAAAGGAUUGGGAAGUCUCUGGGGCUGCUGCUAACUUGUCUUGAAAAAUCAAAAUGAACUUUUUUCUUCAAAGAUUCUGCUUCAAUUCAUCAUCAUUAUAAAAACACUCAAGUCCUUGAGGUCUGAGGCUGCAGUGAAUGCAUACAAAAUGGGUUUUCUGCAGGGGAAAAAACAUAUAAUAAUGUCCUAAAGCUCUUCUUUUGAGCUAUGGGCAGCAGGGAAGUCUGGUUUGAAAUCCAACCUUCACCUCCACUGAGCAAAUUUUGUUAAUUAGGAUGUGUUUGCCCUCCUUAAGGCACCUUCUUUCUCAGGAGAUUUGUAUCUGGGGAGGGCCUUUCCGAAAGGUAGAACAUCUUUAAUUAUUCAAACUGCUGGACCCUGGAGCAUGAUAUCCCCUUUGCCAGCUGUCAUUGGCACCCCAAAAGUAACACAGACUUCAUUAGUGUAUCAUGGAAACUCUAUUAUAGAUGGGGGCUGGGGGUUGUUAACCUGGUUUAUUAGUGUAACACUUCAGGUCCAUAUGGUAAAAGGGCUUCUGUGGGCUGGGCUGAGACUCACCAGGCAUGAUAGUGUUUCUUAGGAAAGUAAGUUCUGAUUUCCAAGUGGCUGCCUUUGAAUCUGGAAUGCAAGCCAUUUCUAAGAAGGAAAAUGCCCUGAAAUAUUAGAUGCAUGUUUUUUCCCAUUAUUUCAGAGGUGAGGAAUGCAGUUAUCUUGAACUUCCUUUAGAUAGAUGGUUUCCUUUUCUCCUUCUCCCCCUUCUUCCUCUUUCCCCACCUCCAUGCCAUUUUAUGAGCUGAUAAACCAUUAGUAGUUAACAUGGACUUCUCAGAAGGCAGUCAAGGAUAAACUUUGCCAGAAAGGGCUGAUUCAGGUGGGGUUACAUGACAGGCUCUGUAGUCCCGAGGGACACUUUUCCAGACUUGAGCAUAAUAUGAAUUCAGGGAGGCAAGAAAGAAGAGUCACAAGAUGAGCCCUCAGGACAUCCUUGCAUAAACCCCCAAAGUCAGGGGCUUAAGAAAGAGAUGUGAGGAAGAAGAUAAGAUCCAGAAGCAAAGAAAUUUGUUAGAGACAGACUGGCAAAGACAGAAGACCAUAGCAAGGACAAUUCUGAGUCCAGCAGUGGACCAGGUACAAUGACAGCCAGCUCUCCCUACCCAUGGGUUCCAUAUCAGUGGCUCCCACCAUCCAUGGACAGAGAAUACUCAGCAAAAAUAUUACAUCUCUACUGAAUGUGUACAGACUUCUAUUCUUUAUCAUUAUUUGCUAAAUAAUAUAAUAUAAAAACUCUCUACAUAGCACUUACAUUGUAUUAGGGUAGAAGUAAUCUAGAGAUAAUUUAAAGCAUACAAGAGAAUGUACAUAGACUAUAUGAAAAUACUAUUCCAUUUUAUAUUGGGACUUCAGCAUUUGCAGAUUUUGGUAUCUUCAGGGAUCGUAGAGCCUGUUCCCCAUAGAUACCAAGGGGUGACUAUACUUGAUGAGUUUUGGAUAGGCCCAAGUGAAAAGCAAACAUAGAUUAUGAACAACUCCUUUCACAGUGAAAAUCAAAAGGCUACUCUCCUUCCUCCAGAGGACAAUGAAUUCCCCCCCCUUAGAGCCAAGUGGUGCAAGCUUGGUAGCCCCUUCCUAGGUCUACUGGAGAGAAGGUAGCAGUCAGGCCAAGAUCCAGUAUGCCCUGGAACUCCCUGCUAGAGGUGCUCAUGACACCUUCCCUCCAUGAAAUGUGGUCAAUGUCAGAAUAGACAAGUAGGGAGAGAAACACCUCACUUCCAUCCUGGUAUGCAGAGGCCAUACUGAAAACCACUAGCAAUCUCAGCAACACAGCACUGGCCCAACCGAUGGAUAUGAUCACAGGCAUAGCCAGCCUCACACAAGGCCCACAGGCUAAAGACCACCUCUGCAUAGCUGUGUCAGUCAGUAAAGCAUCUUUCAAGAUUAAACAAGAAAAUACAUUAGUGAAGGAUGUAUGAUGCCUUCGUAUAAGACUUUACAUUCAAUCAUUAUUAUAAUCUUGUGUAGGACACACUUUCUAAGCAUGAGACCUGUGCAGUGAUAUGGGACACCACAAACCUAAAGGGACCCCACUUGUGGCUAAUGCUCUGCUAUCACUUUCCCGAUAUUCUUUAUUUCAGAACAAAGAGCCUGCAUUUUCUUUUCUUUUCUUUUUUGGGGCAGAGGGAGUACUGGAGAUCGAACUCAGGACCUUGCACUUGGGAGUCAGGUGCAGUGCCACUGAGCUAAAUCCCUAGCCCUGCAUUUUCAUUUUGUAUUGGAGUCUACAAAAUAUGUUGUUGGUCCUUGUCCAAUGGGGGAAAAAACACAGGUGUUACCAACUGCCCCAUUUACAGAUCCAGAAAAAGAGGAUUAAGCAGGUUAAACGGCUUCCCUAGGCUCACCUCACUAGUAAGCAGCUAACUCCAGCUCCAGACCUCACACUUCCUGUGUUAGAUAGCUUUGUGCCACUGGGACAAAAUGCCCGAACAAAAAACAACUUAACAGAGGAAAAAUCUAUGUUGACUCAUGGUUUCAGAGGUCUCAGUUCAUGGUCACUUGGCUGCCCCCAACAGGAGCUGUCCAAACUGGGCCAGACUGGACCAAGCUGGGCCAGUCAGAUUUUCUUUCCCGGGAAUCUGGAAUUGGCAUCCAGCCAACAAGGGGCAAAAGAAACAGCUGGAGCAGUUGUUGAAACAGAGGAAGGGUAGAUUCGGGCAUAGGACAGUCAUGUAAUAACAUUUGCAUCUCCUAUCCUUUCUCCCCACACUCCAAAUUUAUGACUCCCAGAAACAUAGCUAGAGGAAAAGGUCAGGGUCUACCAUAUUGCCAGGAGAUAAUAAUCCAGACAUUUUAGGGGAAACUUCCUUAUGUGAUCUCACUUGUGGCUGAAAACCUACCAGACCUGCUGGUCAUGGGAGUUACAUGAGGAUGGACAGCUGUGAUUGCUAACAUUUCUUAUUCAUGCUGCUACUAUUGUUUAAUCUGUAUAAAUAUAUGUAGCACUUCCUAUAUUCCAGAUACUAAUCUAAGUGCUUUACAUAUAUCAAUUCAUUUAAUUUUCCUAAAAGCCUAUAAAAUAGGUAUUACUAUCAUCAUUCCUGGUCUAUAAGUAAAGAAGCUAAGGCACAAAGAAGUUAUGUACCCCACCCAAAAUCACACAGCUCAUAUGUGGUAGAGCCAGGCUUUGAACUCAACAGCCUGACUGCAAGCAAAGUCUGAAUUCUUAACAUUCACCAACUACCUCUCGAAAUAUUAUCCUGGCUGGUCUGAAAUAAAUAACAUGCAAUUUCCACUUCUCAGUUUAAUUUUACCUAAUCACAAUGCAAUGUUUUAAAAAUGUUGCUUAUUUAGAAUCAAAAAAGCCUCUGAGCAGUCAAAAUAAAAUGACAAUGCAAAAGCAUGAGCACUCAGUCCCUAAGAUUUUCACUCAACCCUCAUUUACUCACAUUCUCUCUCCCUCUCCUCUUCUUCUUUUUACAUGUAAAAAAGAAUCUAGGGUAGAGUUUCACCUAGGAUGUGGACCAUUAUCUGUAUCCAAAUGAUCCAAAAUGUAUCACUUCCUCUCAGGUACAGCUUUCAAUCUGUCCACUUGGGGUUCUGCAUAUCCGCAAUUUUGAUCCCAAGGAAGGAUCACACUACAGGGUCUUACCCUUUCCUACCAGCUGGUGUGUGCUCAGAACAUGCACAACUGGAGCCAAUAUACACAGGACUGUAGAAAUGGGCCCAAAAAACCACCCCAUGGGACUCUCAAAGUCAAAUAUAGAAAGUCAUUGGGGUCCUCUCUUCAGUUUGCCUUCUGCUAAGGGAAAGGAGUCAAACGCAUUCGGAACUCUCCGUCCCUUGUCUUGUAACCAUCCUCUUUCUCACUGAGCCCCUUUAGACUUUAGAUUCUCUAUUGAAUGCUUCACUCUUUCUUAAUUUUUGCUUUUUAAUCUAGCUAACUCUGGUGUAAUAUCAUCUUUGUUUUUAAAUACCUUGUUCUUAAAAGGCCUACAAUACGGUAUGUAUACAUAUAAACUUCCCUUAGUGAAUGUAUCCAUUAUCUAUAGCAAACAUGUACUAAUAAAAUAGUAAAAUAAGUAUAUAAAUACUUCCUUCUUAGUAAAGUGUAAAUUCUACCAUAUGUAAUAUAGUUCAUUCAGUAAAUAUUUUGAUCUAUGUAUUCUGUAUUUUAUUAUUAUGUACAGUAAAUAUAUUUAAUAAAAUUCUUUAAUUCAUAAAAUAGAUUCCUUACCCAAACUGCUAAUAGAGUUGUGAUUUGGGUUCUCCAGAAAAUGGUCAUGGUGUUGGUUCUCCCCUGUCAGCAUCUCACUCUUAGCAGAUGCUUUAAAAUAUUCUUAUUUGAAUUGACUUGCUAGGCUAGGUAGCUUUCAAGAACUGGGUGUGUGUAGUUUCAGUCCAUCUGUCUACUCAGCAAGGUCUUGGCAGCACUAACUCUUCCUUUACACCUAACACAUAUUUAUUAUUCUUUACACUUCUUUCCUUAAAUUCUGAAAUCUUUUUUUUUUUUUUGGUACUGGGGAUUGAACCCGGGUCCUUGAGCUUGCUAGGCAGGUGGUGAAACCACUGAGCUAAAUCCCCAGCCCCUUCUGAAAUCUUAAUUACUGGCAAUACCACCCUGAAUGACUCCUGCCAUCAGCACUGGAACUGACCAUUCCUUCAACACUUACAGAGGAUUUUGCUGUGCACCAAGACUAGGAACUAAAGCAAUGACAGCUAUUUCGUUUGUCCCCAACAGCCAUGUGACAUUCUCCCUUCUUCCCCAAACAUGGAGUCCUGUCAGCUGGUCUUGUUGACCACCAUACAGAACAGCCUGUACCUCAUAAGAUGCCUGUCUCAGUGUGGGGCAGAGAUUUCUCGUUAAGGAUGUUCCAGCCGUGAACUCUACUGAAAGACAAGUGUCCCCUCACUCCCUGUGGGUUCUUUACUCUUUGAGCACAGCAAAGAAAAGAAUCCUGGUUGGGUAUGUUAGAUCAGGGUCCCCAGAGAAGGACCUCUUCUUGCUGGAAUUGUGCUUUUCCAUUAAUUAGAUUGUCAGAAAUCCAAGAAUCAUUUUUUUCUACUUUAUCUUCUUUUUUUUUUUUUUUUUUUGUACCGGGGAUCGAACUCCUGUCCUUGCGCUUGCGCAGUAGGCGGCGGAACCACUGAGCUAAAUCCCCGGCCCCUUUAUCUUCUUAAUAUAUUACUGUUUUUUAUUAUUAUUUGAAUUUUUGUUACAAUUUACUUGUUAAUAUCAGUAAUAUUUCUAUGGAUUUCUUAUGGAAAUUUGUGAAAAUUAACUUUGUUUUCUUUCUUUUCCUUUUUUUGUUAUUUGUGUUUGUUUGUUUGAUAUGGGGUCUUGCGAUGUUGCCCAGGCUGGUUUCAAGCUCCUGGAUGCAAAUGACCCUCCUGCUUCAGCCUUUCAAGUACUAUAAUUACACUCAACCAUCGUGCCCAGAUGUUUCCGGUGCCAGGCCCUAGUGACUCUUCACAUCAGUUCAGUCGUGACACUGGUAGAAUCAGCAUAAGGAUAUUGGAAAUAUUCCUGGAAACCACUCCUACACUCUAGAAUGGCUAGAAAUAUUUAUACACAGAAGUGACUGUGAAUGCCUCUAACCCAAACUGUUUGCCUAACUCCACUUUCCUUAGCCCAAUGCCCAAGAUGCCUGAAAUCAUCAAUUCAAGGAAAGAGUUUAGUGGAGAGAAAAAUCAGACUAGAAAGAGACAGUGUCUUAAUGAACUAUCAUUAUCUAUUUGUACAAAUUUUCCCAAAACUCUAUGACCACAUGAACACUCUAGUGGAGACUUUACAGUGUUAUGAAAGUGAAGAGGCUCAAGUUGAGGCUUUAUCUGUAUGUAACUUAACUCUGGCACCAGUCAAUCAAAAAAGACAGCAGGCAUGAAAAGCCAGCUCCUUUUUCUGAUGUAUACAAGCUGCCUGAGCAUUCCUGCAUGCUGACUACUGAUGCUUGUAAGUAUCUGCAGGUAAUACACUUCCACAAAGACGUAUUCUAACUUGUUACAAAUUGUGUUUUGCCAUAUUUUUCUUAAAGACUUCAUUCUUGUCUACCUUUAAACUCUCCUUUGCUAUAUUUUUUGUUUGUUUGUUUGGGUUUUGAGACAGGGUCUCCCUAUGUAGUCCAGGCUGGACUCAAACUCUCCAAAAUUCUCCUACCCCAGCCUCCCAAGUGCUGAGAUUAUAGGCGUGUGCCACCACCCUGGCUUCUUUGCUGUAUUAUCAGGCUCUUUCAUUUUUCAUGUGUUUUGCAGCCAUGAUCUGCAUAUAGAUUUUAAAAUGUUUGUUGUAUUAAGGGGCUUAAUAAAGAAAGAAUUACACAACAGACAGGUUUUGGAAGUCCUCCUUUGUGAGUGUCUUUAGUUGCUCUUUAGUUUGCAUUGAUUCAAAAUGUUUACCUUUCGUGGUCAUUUUGACUUUGGGGAAGAGCCAGAGGUUGCAUAGUGCCAAAUCUGCUGAAUAAAGUGGAUAAGGACAUACCAUAAUGUUUUCACAAGGCUCCUUUGCCACUGGAAUGCAUUUGGCAGCAGUAUUCACCAUAUUUUAUUUUCUAACACCUUGUAAAGGCACUCACAAGUGAGGUCCUCUCUUCAGAAAGUAGCAACAAUGGGACAGUGUGUUCAAAUUGAGAGGGAGUAUUCUGAGGGAAAUUAAUGGCAAUGUGUCUUUUACUGUAGUAAAUUUUAAAAAUUUAAAUGUUCACUGUAUAUUUUAAUUGUACUCUGUAAGAAUAGCUUGAAUUAAAAUGCAAAAUGUGGACUUAGGCAAAGGAAAGUAUUAAACAAUAAACUAAUGACUGAAAUGACCAAGUUAAAGAGAGUCCUAAGAAGCAUUUCCCAGGUCAAGAGCUAGAUUUGUGUCUGUUCACUGGUUUCUCCUCUAGUAGAAUCUAAGAGUAUUGAAGGCAAGGGCUAUAUAUUCAUCUCAUGUGUACAGCCUGAUACAUGUGCAGUCAGCUUUACUGAAUAAGAAAAGUAAUGAGUUGUGAUGAAAGACUAACAGAAACUGUGCUGUGUUAAUGAAUGAACACAUGAAACAACAAGUAUGAGGAAUGGUCAUGCUUUUUUGUUGCUGGUUAGGAGUCACUGGAAAUCUUGGCAAGUGUGACUCUGGCAAAGGUGAAGCAGAGGAAGUUAGAUCUGAGAAAUUCCGGAAGAGUGUUGUUUAUUAAGGAAACUCACUGUGGAUGCUGUUGCAGGAUGUAGGAGUAAGAUGGAAGGGAAGUGCAGUUGUUAACAGGGCCAAACAUCUGGGCUUUUUUGUAUUCAAAAAGAGGAGGUAGGAUCUAAAGAAGAGAAGAAGGGAGUUGGGGGACAGGAGGCAGAGUAGAGUAUCAUCAAGAUGAGUGUGAUAAAAGGUCUUCACACAAGCAGUGACUCAAAGGCUAGUGUGGUGCGGGGUCCUGGAUCUUGGCCCCCUUUUAGGAAAUGUGUACACCAUGGGCCAUGACACCAGCAGGAGUAAAUGAGUGGCCUGGUGAAAAGGAGUGAUAUCCUAAGAGAGGUCAUGGGGGCACAGGUGACGGGAGAGGAAGCCACAUGUGGCACUCACUAAUGGCAACGAUGGAACCGGAAUGCUUGGAAAGUCCCUCAUGGGAGACAAGGAGCAUUCUACCUCGGCCAAAUGAAUAAACACAAUAUAAAGUUUUCUUCAGUGGCCCCCAGGAUUUGCCAUCCUCCUAUUUCCAUGGAGGACUCCUAAAGUCAACAGAAUUAUCCUGUGGGUCAGAGCCAUGCUGAAAAGCAGUGUGGGAAGAGCACAGCCUACUCUACUAUAUUUUGACCUUGGAGUUUAUUUCCACUCUGUCUUUUUCUUUGAUCCCAAAGUUCACAAUAGCCUUUCCUUAGAUGUGUGCAUGUUUUACCUAAGUAAAUUACUCUGUGGUAGUAACCUUUUAAUUUUCUUAAUUAAAUGUGCUCUGUAUCCCAGUUAGCCAGAUCUAUGUUGAGUUUUUUGUUUGUUUAUUUGUUUGUUUUUGGCACCAGGGAUCGAACUCAGGAUCUUGUGCUUGUGAGGCAGGUGACGGCACCACUGGGCUAAAUCUUCGGCCUAUGUUAACUUUUAAUGUAAUCACCAAGAUGAUUUCCCACCCAACACAGCAUUAUACACAUAUUGAGGUUUACACUAUCCACUUAUUCUGGUUCACUCUUCUUAGGUUAGCUUUUCCCACUUUUUUUCUCUAUACCUUUUGAUUCUUUGACCUAAACACAAAAUGAACACAAAUCUAGAAAGAGAGAAACAGAACAAGAGAGUGAAGCUCAUUCUGGAAGCAAAAAAGAGAGGCCUUUCUAUUUCAUUGGCUGGCAAUAAAGCCUGAAACUCCAUCACCAUGUUGCCUGGCAACUUAGGAAAUAUUUUUGUGAUUAAACAAAAAAUAUCUGGAGUAAAUUCACAAUGAAACAGCUAAAACGCAUUAUAUCAUCCUGCAUUUCACCAUUAAAACAUGAGUAGCAGACACUUUGGGACAGAUAACCCUCAAGAAAACAAAAACAAACAUGCUGGCAAUGCCAAGAGGCAGGAGGGACCAGGAAAUGGCCUGGACUGGGACCAGAAGUCCGAGGCAAAUCUCAAACCCUUUGAGGCACUUGGUGUUUUUCAUCCGCAAAAAGAACAAGUGGGAUUAAUGAGCUCUGACAUUUCAUAAUUCAAAAGAAACAGUAAAAACUAGGAGCAUAGAACCAGUCAUUUUUUUGAACUGCAGCAUUUAUUAUGCUUGGGUAGGCUAUGAACACAGGCCUAAAGGGUGAAAAUCAUUCAUCUUGCCUUAAAUGAAAUCCACAGUGGGGUUGUUAGGUUCCCAUAAGCUAUCAAUGCCUGCUUAUUACAAGUAACCCCUUCUUUAGAAAAGCAGAAGCUCAGCAUUAUGAAAGCUGCUCAUCUCAUUAAGAGAAACAAACAAACAAAACCCUCCUGGAAAUUUCUUCAACACUAUUACAACAAGCAAUCCCAGAGUCAAGAAGUCCAGGCAAACUUAAAGUAACUUGUUUGUGGAAAUCACAAAUGAAUAGGCUAUAAAAAUAUCCAAAAAGAGAAGGUGUGGUUGCAAACUAAAAACUGCAGCAACAAAGCUUUGAAGAAUAUAGUGUGGCUGUUAAAAAUCAAGGAUGCUGGGCUCCAAUCCUGGCUUUACCAUUUACUGGGCUAUCUUUUUUAACUCUCUAUAUCUCAGUUUAUUCAUCCAUAUGGGGGUCAUAAGAGUAGCACACAGCCUCACAGACUUAUCAUACCAGUGAAAUGAGUUAGAAAUGGGCUUACAAUAGUAGCUGACAUAGAGUUAGCUAUUGUUGAAUAAGCCAGUAACUGCUAAUACCAGUACUAGAGUUUGGAUUCAAAGUCCAAGACCACUGAUUAUUAACAGUUGACCUUUGGCCAACCUUCCUGGCCUUUCAAUUCCUCAUCUCUAAAAUGGGAAUAACCAUUACUGUGAGAAUUAAACAAAGUAAUGUUUGUGACAUGCACAGAGCAGCUAUUAUGAAUCAUUACUAUCCAAUAAUCAUCAAGAAAUUUCUCUGCAAUUUAUUUAGCUUCUGUUGUUUUAUUAAUGCCUUAAAAAUAACAAUGAAUGGUGAAGACAGUCAAUUUUAUAUGCAUUUUACCACAAUAAAAACAAAUUAGAAAAAAAUAACAAUGGAUGCGAAAGACAUUUCAAGAAGGAAAGAAUAGUCUUUUCAACAAAUGGUGCUGGGAAAACUGAUAUCCACAUUCAAAAGAAUGAAGUUGGGCCCCUUGCUCACACCAUAUGCAAAGUUUACCUCAAAAUGAGUCAAAGAACUAAAUAUAAGAGCUAACCUUUUAAGCUCAUAGAAAAAAGAUAAGCAUGUCUUUAUGGACUUGAUUAGGCAAUGGUUUCUUAGCUUAGACAUCAAAACCACAAACGAUAUGCACAAAAAAACAGAUAAAUUGGACAUCAUCAAAAUGAACAACUUUUAUACUUCAAAGAGCACCAAUUAAGAAAGUGAAAAAACCCACAGAAUGGGAAAAAUUACUUGUAAAUCAUACAUCUGAUAAGGGACUUGUAUGCAAAAUACUUGAACUUUUAAAACUCAAUAACAAAAAGACAAAUACUUAAUAAAUGGAUAAAGAAUCAGAAUAUACAUUUUUCUGAAAAUAUACAAGUGGUCAAUAAGCACAGAAAAAGAUUCUUUUUUUUUUUUUGGUACUGGGGAUCGAACUCGGGUCCUUGCGCUUGCACAGCAGGCGGCGAAACCACUGAGCUAAAUCCCCAGUCCAGAAAAGGAUUCUUAACAUCAUUACCCAUCAGAGAAAUGGAAAUCAAAACCAAAUAUCACUUUAUAUCCACUAGAAGGGAUAUAAUAAAAAAGACAGAAAUAACCAAGUGUUGGUAGGGAUGUGAACAAAGUUGAGCCAUAAUAUGUACUGCUAGUGAGAGUGUAAAAGAGUGCAAAUAUUUUUUUAGAAAACAGUGUGACUAUUCCUCAAAAGAUUAACCAUAUGGUAAAUGAUAUGACAUAGUAUAUGAUUUGAUAAUUCAAACCUUAGGUAUACACUCAAGAGAAAAACGUACAUACAAAAGUUUGUACACAAAUGUUCAUACCAGCAUUAUUCAUAAUAAUCAAAGAGUGAAAACAACUAAAAUGUCCAUUGACUGAUAAACAGAUAAAUGUGCUAUAUCCAUAACAUGGAAUUGUGUCCAACAAUAAAAAGAAAUUGAUAAACACUACAUGAAUGAAACUUGAAAACCUUGAAAGAAACCAAUCACAAAAGGCCACAUAUUAUAUGAUCCCAUCUGUAUGAAAAGGUAGAAUAGGCAAAUUUAUUAGUGAAAGCAUGUAGACCAGUGGUUUCCUAGAGGUGGGGAUAUGGGAGAGAACAGUUAGUGUGGUAGGGCCCCUCCUGACAUGUCAUGUGGGGUGGGGGGACUUUUUACAAUGUAACAUAUCAGCUUCUGUGUAGGCAUGUGUAGUUCUGAGGCAACUCUGUAACAUAAAUUAUACCCAACCACACUGCAGAAUGUUAAUGUAUACCCAACCAGACUAUAAAAUGAUAGUGUAUGCCCAUAUAAGGGAGACAAAGACACAAAAACUGUAUAAAAGGGUGCAACUACACCAUGUUCAGCACUCACCUUUUGGAUAUGAAUCCACCACUUCCUGAGAAAAACUGCCUCGGUAUCCUGUCUUUCUAUACUAAAAUCCCAUUGCAUUAGGGGAAAAUGAGGAUUGACUGUUGAUGGGUGUGGUUUCCUUUUGGAGUGAUACAAAUGUUCAAGAAUUGGGGAGUUUAGUGAUUGAUCCACAAUUGUAAAUAUCCUAACCACCAUUGAAUUGUGCACUUUAAAUUAGUGAAUUACAAGGUGUGUGAAGUGUAUCUCAAUAAAACUAUUAUUAAAAAUAAUAAUGGAAACAUCAGAAGCUCCAAGAACUGCCCCGCAUACCUCCAGACAGGCCCCAAAUUUAUCUUCCAGCAGAGGUAGCAGAGGCUGCUGAUGGAACUGCCUGGAUGAUUCCCGAAAAAGCCUGGAAGACUUCAGACCAGUGGCCAAAUGCACAUGAGUUCCCUGUGGUCCUUCCUUCCUUGAUCUUCUACCACAACAACAAUGUGUUUCCAUUUAAACUGAUGUAGAUAUGCACUUGUAACAAUGGUGAAUGGUCUCAUUUCUGAAUAUUAGCCUAAAAUGCAGACGAGGAGUGCUCCCAUGUCCUUAGCAUUAGGUAGAUCUUUGGUCAAACUACAGCAUUCUCUUUUACUACUUUCUCCCUUGGGCUCAAGAUGUGUUGUCUGAAAAGUGAGAGAUAGCAGUACAGUAAUACCUCAGCUUAGGAAUGCUCCUGUUCAUGAACAAUUUGGUUUGCAAACAGAAGCAUUUGGAACAACUUUGCUUCCAUUAUCGAACUUUGUAUCAAGUGACAAACAUGAUCGCAGCCAUCUUCCCUAGAUGAACACAAAUGUGACCAUCUUGCCCAGAAUCAUGGAACCAAUUAAGUGCAUGAACCAAGGUACCACUGUACCUCCUUCCCAGAGCUACUUGAAGAUUGAGUAAUGUCAUUAACAAGCUCUUAAAGCAACCUGGCUUCCACCUCUUAUAACACUUUGUCUCAUAAUCAUUCCAUCAACUCAGUGCUUGUCUAGUGGCUGUCAUCCCAAUGGAUUGUAAACUUCAAGAAAGCUUUAUUCAUGGCUGUGUUCCCUGGGACACAGACUAUUAAUAGACAGACUAUUUUGUGCAAUGUGGUGCCUGUGGCACAUGUUAUAUACUCAAUAAAUGUUAGCUCUUACUAGUAAUACCCAGCUCAAACAAUAAAAACAAGCAGUGUAGUCAAGGAAAGACUACCUGGUGAAACCUUUGACCUCAGAACCCUAUUGAAAGAAUGUGAACUCCACCAAGAGGAGCGAGUAUUGUGUUUUCUGUUGCAAAGAAGGACUCAGAGACUCAAAGUCUAUCACACCUACAGACCACCAAGAAAUGAGCUUCUUCCCCCAGACUCUCCCAGCCUGAGCCACAUCACUGCUCUUGAAAUUCAGCCUGAUCUGUGAGUCUGAAUGAAUGUGAGCUGCGUGGGUGGCACACAGUAUGAGCUCCAGCGAGAGGCCCUAGUUCUUUCCCAAGAAGGUGUGACUUUUGAUUUCCUUCAAGUACGAUCAAGGUGGGUGAAGCAGUGGUGUUGGAAGGCUGGUGAGCUGUGGGCUGGCUGAGUCAGUGUUGGACAAGCUCCCCUCGGGAAUUUCCCACAGGGAGGGGAGCAGGUGGCAAUUGUCAGCUGGGAAAUUAACCAGGUGUGACUUUGAGAUCCAUAGGUAGAUUACAGUCUGCCCACAGAAAAGCCUGGGCCUAAUUAAUGAUAUUACUCUGAGUGGAAGUGAGGCCUUAUGCUUGGAAUGAAGUCCUUCACCUUGGCCUUUGUCUCCAAGUGAUAUCCUUUUCUACCUCUCUAGCUCAUGGAGUUGUUACUAGAAUAAAUCAAUGAAAUUAUGUAUAUAUGAAAAAAAUCCUUAGAGACUAAUAACGAAAUAUCAUCUGAAAAAAAUGGUUGGGUUUUCAGAUGGUUUUUGUUUUUGUUUAUUUGUUUUGAAGUGCUAGGGAUAAAACCCAAGAGUUCAUGCAUGCUACGCAAGUCCUCUACCACUGAAAUACAUCCCCAGCCAAUACUGUGUUACUUUUACGAACAAAAAAGUUUUAAUAAAAAUAUAUUGAGACUUAUACUCCCAUAGGAAGAGCCAUGGGAGACAUACAUGAUCAGGGAUCACUGGUCAGGCUGGAAGAGACCCCAGAUGGGUAUAAGCUAAAUGACCCAGGCCCCAAACCCACAGCUAGAAGCCAGGCUCAGCCUGAAUUGAGGUGGAUUUGAAAGUCCCAGAAUUGGCACACCCACCCUAAUCCUACUGACUGCUAGUGAUUGCAGCCUUCGUGGAUGUGGGCUCUGACUGCUUUCUUUAUCUACCAAUGAAAGCAGGGACAGAUAUUGAAUUGGACACCAUCCCAAAAUUGUAGACCCC